CCUACGGGCGGCAGCAGUAGGGAAUCUUCCACAAUGGGCGAAAGCCUGAUGGAGCAACGCCGCGUGGGUGAAGAAGGUCUUCGGAUCGUAAAACCCUGUUGUUAGAGAAGAAAGUGCGUGAGAGUAACUGUUCACGUUUCGACGGUAUCUAACCAGAAAGCCACGGCUAACUACGUGCCAGCAGCCGCGGUAAUACGUAGGUGGCAAGCGUUAUCCGGCUUUACUGGGCGUAAAGGGAACGCAGGCGGUCUUUUAAGUCUGAUGUGAAAGCCUUCGGCUUAACCGGAGGAGUGCAUUGGAAACUGGGAGACGUGAGUUCAGAAGAGGAGAGUGGAACUCCAUGUGGAGCGGUGAAAUGCGUAGAUAUAUGGAAGAACACCAAGGGCGAAAGCAGCUCUCUGGUCUGUAAAUGACGCUGAGGUUCGAAAGCGUGGGUAGCAAACAGGAUUAGAUACCCGUGUAGUC
rnacentral:rRNA from 1 species